rnacentral:tRNA from 1 species
GCAUCCAUAGUGUCAGCGGCCUAACACUCCGUCCUUCCAAGUCGGAACCCUCGGUUCGAAUCCGAGUGGAUGCU